UGACUCAGUGGUAGAGUGCUUGUCUCAUAUGCAUGAGGCCCUGAGUUCAAUUCCUCAG
rnacentral:tRNA from 1 species